rnacentral:lncRNA from 1 species
AUGUCUGCAGAGUCCAGGACGUGGCUCCUGCCCAGAACCUGAUGGCUGGACAAUGGUAAAUUCUCCCCCAGUCUUCUGUCAUCUCAACAGUGGGACUAUUAUCCUAUGCCACGACAGGGUGUCAUACAGAUGAGGACACUGAGGCACAGAGAGAGUGACAUCGAGUCAGGACUGAUCGCACAGGAACAGAGGAUCUGGAUGUGCAGAUGCGUCUGUCUCCAUCCCCCCGCACCCCACAUCUCCAGGGCCCCUGGCUAGGUGAAGACACCACAGGUCAUUCGCCUCACCUGCAGCCUCCCAAUUUCCACGGAAAGAUGUGAUGGUGACCAGGCACUUAUGUGACCCAGGAUUCAGAUCGCUGAAGUCCGUCCAUCCGUUCACACCGAAGACGCACGUGAAGGAACGCCAGUCCUGGCUGCCUGCUUGUGAGGACACCGCAGAGUAAUGAGGGAGAUGGCCAUGGAAUGGCUCAUCCGCUGCGGGGCUCUGCGCAGUGUUGAAGGGAGCCCUGAGAAAGGAUGGUCCCGUUUACUGAACACCUACUCUGAGCCGUGACUUUCUUGUGCACCUGCCUCCCCUAAUCUGCCCCUGUGAGGGGAGGGACUGUUAGGGACCCCAUUUUACAAACCGGUUUGAUACAAAAUUGGAGUAGCAGGGCCGGAUG